rnacentral:rRNA from 1 species
UGGGGAAUUUUGGACAAUGGGGGAAACCCUGAUCCAGCCAUCCCGCGUGUGCGAUGAAGGCCUUCGGGUUGUAAAGCACUUUUGGCAGGAAAGAAACGUCAUGGGUUAAUACUCCGUGAAACUGAUGGUACCUGCAGAAUAAGCACGGGCUAACUACGUGCCAGCAGCCGCGGUAAUACGUACGGUGCAAGCGAUAAUCGGAAUUACUGGGCGUAAAGCGUGCGCAGGCGGUUCGGAAAGAAAGAUGUGAAAUCCCAGAGCUCAACUUUGGAACUGCAUUUUUAACUACCGGGCUUGAGUGUGUCAGAGGAAGGUGGAAUUCCUCGUGUAGCAGUGAGAUGCGAAGAUAUGCGGAUAAACACCGAUGGCGAAGGCAGCCUGCUGAGAUAACACUGACGCUCAUGCACGAAAGCGUGGGGAGCAAACAGG